rnacentral:rRNA from 1 species
CACGUAGGCGGUCCGGUAAGUCGGAUGUGAAAGCCCUAGGCUCAACCAAGGAAGUGCAUUCGAAACUGUCGGACUUGAGUACGGGAGAGGGUCGCGGAAUUCCCGGUGUAGAGGUGAAAUUCGUAGAUAUCGGGAGGAACACCAGAGGCGAAGGCGGCGGCCUGGACCGAUACUGACGCUGAGGUGCGAAAGCGUGGGGAGCAAACA